AGGUGAAGGUGGUUGGGGCUCAGCUGGGGUGUGUGGUCUGGGUGUGGGGAGUUCUGUGUGGGGGGUGUCCAGAUGCUGAGGGAGUAGGUCUCAGUGGGGUGGGGAUCCAGGUGCAGGUGACUCAUUGGGGUGGUCCAGGUGCAGG